rnacentral:rRNA from 1 species
GUGCUUAUACAUGCAAGUCGAGCGAACGGAUAAGGAGCUUGCUCCUUUGAAGUUAGCGGCGGACGGGUGAGUAACACGUGGGUAACCUACCUAUAAGACUGGAAUAACUUCGGGAAACCGGAGCUAAUGCCGGAUAACAUAUAGAACCGCAUGGUUCUAUAGUGAAAGAUGGUUUUGCUAUCACUUAUAGAUGGACCCGCGCCGUAUUAGCUAGUUGGUAAGGUAAUGGCUUACCAAGGCGACGAUACGUAGCCGACCUGAGAGGGUGAUCGGCCACACUGGAACUGAGACACGGUCCAGACUCCUACGGGAGGCAGCAGUAGGGAAUCUUCCGCAAUGGGCGAAAGCCUGACGGAGCAACGCCGCGUGAGUGAUGAAGGUUUUCGGAUCGUAAAACUCUGUUAUUAGGGAAGAACAAAUGCGUAAGUAACUGUGCGCAUCUUGACGGUACCUAAUCAGAAAGCCACGGCUAACUACGUGCCAGCAGCCGCGGUAAUACGUAGGUGGCAAGCGUUAUCCGGAAUUAUUGGGCGUAAAGCGCGCGUAGGCGGUUUCUUAAGUCUGAUGUGAAAGCCCACGGCUCAACCGUGGAGGGUCAUUGGAAACUGGGAAACUUGAGUGCAGAAGAGGAAAGUGGAAUUCCAUGUGUAGCGGUGAAAUGCGCAGAGAUAUGGAGGAACACCAGUGGCGAAGGCGACUUUCUGGUCUGUAACUGACGCUGAUGUGCGAAAGCGUGGGGAUCAAACAGGAUUAGAUACCCUGGUAGUCCACGCCGUAAACGAUGAGUGCUAAGUGUUAGG